rnacentral:lncRNA from 1 species
UUUUAUUAACUGGAGUAAUCAAGGAGAGGGCUCAGGUUUACAGCUCUAGAGGGGUUAUAGCUGGGGAGGAGGUGUUAAUAGAGAAGACAGCACUAUAAACCACUAUUUAAUUUAAGGUUUAGGCCUUUAGGUUGUACUUGGAUCAGAAUUUCCAAGCUUCAGUUGGAUUAUGAAGAACUGCAGGUGACAAUGCUGUAGUUACCUGGCUAAAACGGUCUGGAACUUGCAGUGUGUUUUAGCGAGCCUCUUCAGUGAAAGAUCUGGACGUAUCUUAGAAGAUAGUUGUUUGCAGCAGUCACUCCACUGUGACCAGGAGGUCAGCUGGGUGCCAGUUUUUAAGGUCUUCUGGAGUCUCAGACAAGUGUCCCAUCUGGCCAGUGUCACAAAGAUGAAAGGAAAUUGUUAAUUCAGUGAAAGGCCUUUACUUGAUAGGUAAGUCUAUACCUUAUAGUAAGUACUAAGUUAUACCUUAUAGUAAGGUAUAAGGUAUAUAAGUAUAGGUAUAUAUAGGUAUAUAUAGUAAGGUAUAAGGUAUAUAAGGUAUAACUAAGUUAUACCUUAUAGUAAGUACUAUACCUUAUAGCAGAGAAGGAUUUCUUGUGUGUUUUACAAGUGUUGAUACUGACAGAUGUUUAUCUGCAGAACGAUUGGCAAAACAUCUUUCUCCAGGAAAAAUACUUGCUGAAAUGCGAGACCAACAAGUUCAUUUGCCCUUGGAGGCAAAUAAGGAACCAACCUCUUAGACACAGAGCUAUUUUUGUCUUCCUCUG